GGCCUGCGUCCUAUUAGAUAGUUGGUGAGGUAAAGGCUCACCAAGUCAACGAUGGGUAGCUGGUCUGAGAGGAUGACCAGCCAGACUGGAACUGAGACACGGUCCAGACUCCUACGGGAGGCAGCAGUAAGGAAUCUUCCACAAUGGGCGAAAGCCUGAUGGAGCAACGCCGCGUGCAGGAUGAAGGCCCUCGGGUCGUAAACUGCUUUUAUGAGUGAAGAAUAUGACGGUAACUCAUGAAUAAGGGUCGGCUAACUACGUGCCAGCAGCCGCGGUCAUACGUAGGACCCAAGCGUUAUCCGGAGUGACUGGGCGUAAAGAGUUGCGUAGGUGGUCAGUAAAGCGAAUAGUGAAAUCUGGGGGCUCAACCUCACAGGCUAUUAUUCGAACUCACUGACUCGAGAACAGCAGAGGUAACUGGAAUUUCUGAAGUAGGGGUAAUAUCCGUAGAUAUCAGAAGGAACACCAAUGGCGUAGGCAGGUUACUGGGCUGUUUCUGACACUGAGGCACGAAAGCGUGGGGAGCGAACCGGAUUAGAUACCCGGGUAGUCCACGCCGUAAACGAUGGAUACUAGCUGUUGGAGGUAUCGACCCCUUCAGUAGCGAAGCUAACGCGUUAAGUAUCCCGCCUGUGGAGUACGGUCGCAAGACUAAAACAUAAAGGAAUUGACGGGGACCCGCACAAGCGGUGGAGCGUGUUGUUUAAUUCGAUGGUAAGCGAAGAACCUUACCCAGGUUUGACAUCCUUGGAAUUUUGCCGAAAGGCGAGAGUGCUUUAUUGAACCAAGUGACAGGUGUUGCAUGGCCGUCGUCAGCUCGUGUCGUGAGAUGUUUGGUUAAGUCCAUCAACGAGCGCAACCCUUGUGAUUAGUUGUAUUUUUCUAAUCAUACUGCCCCGGAAACGGGGAGGAAGGAGGGGAUGAUGUCAGGUCAGUAUUUCUCUUACGUCCUGGGCUAGAAACGUGAUACAAUGGCAGGUACAAUGCGCAGCGAAGCCGCGAGGUGAAGCAAAUCGCACCAAAGCCUGUCCCAGUUCGGAUUGGAGGCUGAAACUCGCCUCCAUGAAGUCGGAAUCGCUAGUAAUCGCAAGUCAGCAAAUUGCGGUGAAUACGUUCCCGGGUCUUGUACACACCGCCCGUCAAACCAUGAAAGUGACCAACACCCGAAGUCCGAUUCGUCGGCCUAAGGUGGGGGGCAUGAUUGGGGUUAAGUCGUAACAAGGUAUCCGUAGCGGAAGCUGCGGAUG
rnacentral:rRNA from 1 species